CUCCAAUCUACACCAUUCGCAACU
rnacentral:misc_RNA from 1 species